GUCUAGGACCUUUCAAAGGAUGACAGCUGCACUCAGGUGAAGACAGCGGGCUGGAAGUGGAGAGGUAGGUGUGCACAGAGAGGGCUCCUGAGCCCAUUUGGCAAAUUCAGCCCAUUUCCUGCAAACACCCGCAGAGGCCUCAGGCGAUCUUCAGUUUUAGAAACUGGUCUCCCCUGGAAACAGUUGCCUCUUUCUCCCGGUACCUCCGCCCCCACUCCCCCAGCCCUGUGCUGUGGUUCUCAUCCAGGGCUUGGUUUGAAUGCAGCCCUGAACUGGUCUUUCCACCCCUUUCCAGCCCCUCCAGGACUUUGCUUUGUGGACUGGACAAGAAUGUGUGGACCCACGCUGUUCCCUGGCUCUGGCAACCUGCAGGGCCCACCGGUCCUGAUGAAGCCACUUGUGCCCAUCAGGAGCUAGAUGUCAAGGCCAUUUCCACAGUCAUUUGGUGACAAAGGCGAGAGGGCGUGCGGCAAGCCCAAGGAGCCAUGCUGGGUGCUGGAGUGUCAGGGCCGUCCACCUAAGAACCUAAGGGAGAGACCCAUGGCCACCUUCAAGCCAUUCACGGAGGCCAUGGGGCAGAACACACUGGACACCCUGAGAAAUAGAGGGCAUCAUGGAAAGCUGCAGGAACAGGACUCUGCGACGGUCCUGCAUCCACCCAGCGUCCCCCAUCCUGAGAUGCGCAGCUGCCACUCCUGGGGACCGUCAGAGGUGGAAUCGUGUUAGUGUGGCCUCCAGAUCUGGCCUUUGGAUAGUGGUAAAGUAGGGUUAUCCAUGCUCUGAGGCUCCCAGAGACAGAAGCCUGGCUUGGUGGGCCACUGCUUCGCCUUUCUUAAAAAUGGCCUUUUAUCUAUACAGAGUAAUUUAAUUAUAUACAAAUGUGUGUUCAGAUUCCAUCUUGUACUUAAUUAUAUCUUUUGCCACAGGGCUAUCGUUUCCCAAUAAACAAACUUGGUUGUUUUUUUUAUUUCCAGUACGGGGGAUCCAACUCAGGACCUUGCACUUGCCAGGCAGGUGCUGGUACCACUGAGCUAAAUCCCUAGCCCAGCACUUGGUUAUUGUCGAAGGGUGCUGG
rnacentral:lncRNA from 1 species